UCCUACUGCAUGGCGUCCGGAGGUCUUAUACCAAACAACAGAGAGAGAGAGGACUCAACUCUCCAAUUCACUCACCUUCCAUUGCGAUUAUCGCCUCUAACCCCCACUCGGUGGCUCCCCCCCACACCUUCCUCAAUCCGCAAACGAUGUCUGCAAAGCAAACUGAAAGUCUCUGCACAGGGAAUCCUCCAGCACUGCUGUUUAUUAUCUGGAUAAGCAAUCGUAAAAUCCGCCCUUUUGUUUCGAAGUGCAUACAUAAUGCUCGGGGGGGGAAAAAAAGGCACCCUCGUCUGUGCAUUAACAGAGAUGGGAGAAGAAGCAUAUCCACGCGAGGUCCAGCCGCCAACAGAGAAUGCUGACAGCAAACCGCGUGGGCUACGUUGGAUCAAUUAAAGCUCUAACAAUGAAAGGCAGUACAGAAAGAGCAAAGAAGGUUUAGAAAAUAUUCGGAAUUACGUUCCCACAUCAAGAUAGCUCUGGACUAUUGUACAGGAAUGAAUGUUGCUAAAUUGAGGAUGUUUGGACGAAAACUAUCUAAACAUCUGAAGAUUC